rnacentral:rRNA from 1 species
AGUGAACGCUGGCGGUAGGCCUAACACAUGCAAGUCGAACGGCAGCACAGUAAGAGCUUGCUCUUACGGGUGGCGAGUGGCGGACGGGUGAGGAAUACAUCGGAAUCUACUUUUUCGUGGGGGAUAACGUAGGGAAACUUACGCUAAUACCGCAUACGACCUACGGGUGAAAGCAGGGGAUCUUCGGACCUUGCGCGAUUGAAUGAGCCGAUGUCGGAUUAGCUAGUUGGCGGGGUAAAGGCCCACCAAGGCGACGAUCCGUAGCUGGUCUGAGAGGAUGAUCAGCCACACUGGAACUGAGACACGGUCCAGACUCCUACGGGAGGCAGCAGUGGGGAAUAUUGGACAAUGGGCGCAAGCCUGAUCCAGCAAUGCCGCGUGGGUGAAGAAGGCCUUCGGGUUGUAAAGCCCUUUUGUUGGGAAAGAAAAGCAGCAGGUGAAUACCCCGCUGUUCUGACGGUACCCAAAGAAUAAGCACCGGCUAACUUCGUG